UGGAGAUGUGACCCUAACCCUCUGACCAUUCUAUAGAGGUUCUCUGACGGUUCUGUAGAGGUUCUCUGACGGUUCUAUAGAGGUUCUCUGACGGUCCCUAGAGGUUCUCUGACGAUUCUAUAGAGGUUCUCUGACGGUUCUAUAGCGGUUCUCUGACGGUUCUAUAGAGGUUCUCUGACGGUUCUGUAGAGGUUCUCUGACGGUUCUAUAGAGGUUCUCUGACGGUCCCUAGAGGUUCUCUGACGAUUCUAUAGAGGUUCUCUGACGGUCCCUAGAGGUUCUCUGACGAUUCUAUAGAGGUUCUCUGACGGUUCUAUAGCGGUUCUCUGACGGUUCCGUAGAGGUUCUCUGACGGUUCUACAGAGGUUCUCUGACGGUUAUAUAGAGGUUCUCUGACGGUUCUAUAGAGGUUCUCUGACGGUUCCGUAGAGGUUCUCUGACGGUUAUAUAGAGGUUCUCUGACGGUUCUAUAGGUUCUCUGACGGUUCUAUAGGUUCUCUGACGGUUCUAUAGAGGUUCUCUGAUGGUUCCAUAGCGGUUCUAUAGCGCUUCCGUAGAGGUUCUCUGACGGUUCCGUAGAGGCUCUCUGACGGUUCUGUAGAGGUUCUCUGACGGUUCUAUAGGUUCUCUGACGGUUCUAUAGCGGUUCUCUGACGGUUCUAUAGGUUCUCUGGCGGUUCUAUAGAGGUUCUCUGAUGGUUCCAUACAGGUUCUCUGACGGUUCUAUAGAGGUUCUCUGACGGUUCUGUAGAGGUUCUCUGACGGUUCUAUAGAGGUUCUCUGACGGUUCUAUAGAGGUUCUCUGACGGUUCUAUAGCGGUUCUCUGACGGUUCCGUAGAGGUUCUCUGACGAUUCUAUAGAGGUUCUCUGACGGUUCUAUAGCGGUUCUCUGACGGUUCCGUAGAGGUUCUCUGACGAUUCUAUAGAGGUUCUCUGACGGUUCUAUAGCGGUUCUCUGACGGUUCCGUAGAGGUUCUCUGACGGUUCUAUAGAGGUUCUCUGACGGUUCUGUAGAGGUUCUCUGACGGUUCUAUAGAGGUUCUCUGACGGUUCCGUAGAGGUUCUCUGACGGUUAUAUAGAGGUUCUCUGACGGUUCUAUAGGUUCUCUGACGGUUCUAUAGAGGUUCUCUGAUGGUUCCAUAGCGGUUCUAUAGCGCUUCCGUAGAGGUUCUCUGACGGUUCUGUAGAGGUUCUCUGACGGUUCUGUAGAGGUUCUCUGACGGUUCCGUAGAGGUUCUCUGACGGUUCUAUAGAGGUUCUCUGACGGUUCUAUAGAGGUUCUCUGACGGUUCUAUAGCGGUUCUCUGACGGUUCCGUAGAGGUUCUCUGACGGUUCUAUAGAGGUUCUCUGACGGUUCUAUAGAGGUUCUCUGACGGUUCUAUAGAGGUUCUCUGACGGUUCUAUAGAGGUUCUCUGACGGUUCCGUAGAGGUUCUCUGACGAUUAUAUAGAGGUUCUCUGACGGUUCUAUAGGUUCUCUGACGGUUCUAUAGAGGUUCUCUGAUGGUUCCAUAGCGGUUCUAUAGCGCUUCCGUAGAGGUUCUCUGACGGUUCCGUAGAGGUUCUCUGAUGGUUAUAUAGAGGUUCUCUGACGGUUCUAUAGAGGUUCUCUGACGGUUCCGUAGAGGUUCUCUGACGGUUAUAUAGAGGUUCUCUGACGGUUCUAUAGGUUCUCUGACGGUUCUAUAGGUUCUCUGACGGUUCUAUAGAGGUUCUCUGAUGGUUCCAUAGCGGUUCUAUAGCGCUUCCGUAGAGGUUCUCUGACGGUUCCGUAGAGGCUCUCUGACGGUUCUGUAGAGGUUCUCUGACGGUUCUAUAGGUUCUCUGACGGUUCUAUAGAGGUUCUCUGAUGGUUCCAUACAGGUUCUCUGACGGUUCUAUAGCGGUUCACUGACGGUUCUAUAGCGGUUCUCUGACGGUUCUGUAGAGGUUCUCUGGCGGUUCUAUAGAGGUUCUCUGAUGGUUCCAUACAGGUUCUCUGACGGUUCUAUAGAGGUUCUCUGACGGUUCUGUAGAGGUUCUCUGACGGUUCUAUAGAGGUUCUCUGACGGUUCUAUAGCGGUUCUCUGACGGUUCUAUAGAGGUUCUCUGACGGUUCCGUAGAGGUUCUCUGACGGUUCUAUAGAGGUUCUCUGACGGUUCUAUAGCGGUUCUCUGACGGUUCUAUAGAGGUUCUCUGACGGUUCUAUAGCGGUUCUCUGACGAUUCUAUAGAGGUUCUCUGACGGUUCUAUAGCGGUUCUCUGACGGUUUCGUAGAGGUUCUCUGACGGUUCUAUAGAGGUUCUCUGACGGUUCUGUAGAGGUUCUCUGACGGUUCCGUAGAGGUUCUCUGACGGUUAUAUGGAGGUUCUCUGACGGUUCUAUAGAGGUUCUCUGACGGUUCCGUAGAGGUUCUCUGACGGUUAUAUAGAGGUUCUCUGAUGGUUCCAUAGCGGUUCUAUAGCGCUUCCGUAGAGGUUCUCUGACGGUUCCGUAGAGGCUCUCUGACGGUUCCGUAGAGGUUCUCUGACGGUUCUGUAGAGGUUCUCUGACGGUUCUAUAGCGGUUCUCUGACGGUUCUAUAGAGGUUCUCUGACGGUUCUGUAGAGGUUCUCUGACGGUUCUGUACAGGUUCUCUGACGGUUCUAUAGAGGUUCUCUGACGGUUCUAUAG